UUAAAUAUUUUAGCUUUAUCUCGCUAUUAUAUGGUGACAAUUGACGUUUUGGUAUGCUGAGAUGUUCACUGUUUUCUUUGCAAUUUUCUAAACACAUUCAUUUCUUGUUGGUUGUAAGUUGCUAUAGCUAAAAGAAAAUGCAUUCCCUUUGCAUGUUCAAGUUAAUUUUCCUCCUUAGUGUAGGUACUAUUAGAGUAUGAG
rnacentral:lncRNA from 1 species